AUCCACCUGACUAGUCUCAAAUAAGACGAAAUGCACGUCCUGUAU
rnacentral:hammerhead_ribozyme from 1 species